GCACCGGCGGACGGCUCAGUAACACGUGGACAACCUGCCCUCGGGAGGGGGAUAACCCCGGGAAACUGGGGCUAAACCCCCAUAGGAGAUGGAUACUGGAAUGUUCCAUCUCCGAAAGUCCGCAAGGAGCCCGAGGAUGGGUCUGCGGCGGAUUAGGUAGUUGGUGGGGUAACGGCCCACCAAGCCGAAGAUCGGUACGGGCUGUGAGAGCAGGAGCCCGGAGAUGGACACUGAGACACGGGUCCAGGCCCUACGGGGCGCAGCAGGCGCGAAACCUCCGCAAUGCGGGAAACCGCGACGGGGGGACCCCGAGUGCCGUGGCACCGCCACGGCUUUUCCGGAGUGUAAAAAGCUCCGGGAAUAAGGGCUGGGCAAGGCCGGUGGCAGCCGCCGCGGUAAUACCGGCGGCCCGAGUGGUGGCCGCUAUUAUUGGGCCUAAAGCGUCCGUAGCCGGGCCCGUAAGUCCCUGGCGAAAUCCCACGGCUCAACCGUGGGGCUUGCUGGGGAUACUGCGGGCCUUGGGACCGGGAGAGGCGGGGGGUACCCCUGGGGUAGGGGUGAAAUCCUAUAAUCCCAGGGGGACCGCCAGUGGCGAAGGCG
rnacentral:rRNA from 1 species